AUUAUUAAUAAAGCAAAAGCAAAUAAGGAAAAGCUGAAGUAUCUAGAGGGGUUAAGAUUAGGAAAGUGUAUUCUACUUGGCAGAUCUUCAUGUUCGCAUAUGGGACAUUUUUGGUCAAGAUCGAUCUGAAAGUUGGUCUCCAUCUUUUGAAAUCCAAGAUCUGAGAAGCGGUUGAUCAAGAUCGAGCUGAAAUUUGUCCUUUUCCUCCAGAAAUCGAGUGAUCCUGAGUUGUAUUUGCUGAGGCUGUAGAGGAAUAUUGAAGGAUCAAGUUUUAAGUUUGGUGAGCAUUUGGCCUCAAGCACGUCAUUGAUGCAUCUAAAUCCUUUUAUCUCUACUCAUGUGGCGAGUUCCCUUUUUCCUUUCCCUAAAAUGUUUGAACAUCUCUCUGAAUGGAAACAUUCACACAUCAUGACAAAUUUGUUUAGAAUUUCGACUCUUCUACAAUCUUCGUUCGUAGAGUUUAGAUUUUGCAAGAGUAUUAUUCUUAGGGGUUUAUACUUUUGGUAUUCCCAAUUCUCAUUGUAUUGUUAUAGUCUACAAUCUUCAUUCGUUGAGUUUAGGUUUUGCAAGAGUAUUAUUCUUAUGGGUUUAUACUUGCAGUACUCUCUUUUCUGUAUUUUCUAUUUUCUUAUGGAAGCAAAACCAGUAAUGCACUUUGUUGCU